rnacentral:misc_RNA from 1 species
GAGGUUAUUCCUGAAUUUUAAGGGUAUAUCAUGGACCAUGCCUGCCAAGAUCACAGAAGCAAUCCGGAGUUGGGAGGAAGCAGGAAAGCAAACCAAGAACAGAGACAGAUAGAAGAUUGUCCCAGCUAGUAUAUGGUGUGCAAUAUGGAAGGAAAGGAACUCUAUAGCUUUUGAUAGUAUAGAGAAUAGUAUGCAAAAUCAGCUUAUUU